rnacentral:lncRNA from 1 species
AUUGAGUUCCAGGAUAGCCAGGGCUACAGAGAAAAAACAUGUCUUAAAAACAUACACACACACACACUCUCUCUCUCUCUCUCUCUCUCUCUCUCUCUCUUUCUCUCAUAUACAGUUUUAUUUUAAAGAUGUAUUUGUUUUUAUUUCAUAUUUUAAUGUAACACAUUUAUUAUUUGGUAACUUUGUAUAUGCCUACAAUAUAUUUUGAACAUCUCUGACGACUCCUCACCAUAACUCUUCCCGGAUCCACCUCCACUCUUCCAUCCAUGUUUAUUUUUAUUUAUGAGCAGUGUGUUUCUGUGUGAGUGAAUGCCAUAUGUGUGUGGGUGCCCAGGGACGUCAGUAGAGGGCUCUGGUCUCUGGAGCUUGAGUUAUGGGUGGUUCUGAGCUGCCUGCUGUGGGUACUGGGAAAUGAACCCUUGGCCCUCUGGAAGAUCAGAAAGCACUCAAGCUCGGAACCAUCUCUCCAGCCCCUGCAUAUUCUAAAUAAUUACUCUCAAUUAAUAAAAUCCAUGCUACUUAAAAACC